AGUUCUCACACUUCUGGACUCAGAAACUGAUUUCAGGACAUCUCUAUCAUGGUCUGGGCCCUUCUCCUGCUUGCCCUCUUCAGUGACUGCCCAGGGUCCUGGGCACAGUCUAGGCUGACACAAGAAGCUUCAGUGUCAGGGUCUGUGGGACAGAAGGUCACCCUCUCCUGUGCAGGAAGCAGUAACAGUGUUGGGGCAAGCAAUGUAGGCUGGUACCAACAGAUUUCUGGUGCAGCACCCAAAACUGUGAUGAUCACAAGUACUCGACCCUCAGGGAUCCCAGAUCGGUUCUCUGGGAUCAAAUCAGGCAGCACAGCCUAUCUCACCAUCUCAAGUAUCCAGCCUGAGGAUGAGGCUGAUUACUACUGCUCAGCAUGGGAUUAUAGCAUCAGCAGUGGCACAGUGCUUUAUACCCAUAGGAAACUAAGACAAAAACUCUUAUCUUCCAUGAUCACACCCUUGACUCUUUAUGAAGAAAAACUGUCAAGAGGUUGUUUAUGGAGAAUUGUAGUUGAAUCUGAUUUUUCACAUACAGAUCCAAUUAAAGGUUCAGUGAUGGCCAUAGCCUCACAUUACUUUUUCUUAAAUAGCUUUGUUGAAAUAUAA